rnacentral:rRNA from 1 species
UACGGAGGGUGCAAGCGUUAAUCGGAAUUACUGGGCGUAAAGCGCACGCAGGUGGCUGAGCGAGUCGAUUGUGAAAGCCCUGGGCUUAACCUGGGAAUUGCAGUCGAUACUACUCGGCUAGAGUAUGGGAGAGGGCAGUGGAAUUCCCGGUGUAGCGGUGAAAUGCGUAGAUAUCGGGAGGAACAUCAGUGGCGAAGGCGGCUGCCUGGCCCAAUACUGACGAUCAGGUGCGAAAGCGUGGGGAGCAAACAGG